rnacentral:pre_miRNA from 1 species
CAUCUACUCCCUCCGUUCGAAAUUACUUGUCUCGAAAAUGGAUGUAUCUAGAACUAAAAUACAUCUAGAUACAUCCAUCUCUACGACAAGUAAUUCCGAACGGAGGGAGUAACAU